AGAAGUUAAGAUCUCCUAUUUUAUCUUCUCAUUCCUUACCAGCAGUCACUCUUCUACACUUCCGAUAAAAAUAUUCCUCCUCCUCCUAAACCGUCAUCCACCACUGCUUGGCUUUCUUCGUUCAUCGCUCUCAAACAUAGCUCCUUCCUCUUGUAGGUGAUAGAGUUGAGCUAGAAGAUGAACCUCCAACAAAAAGAAAACUUUCAUCGGCCGUUGUCAAGCUUUUUAGUAGGGUUGUCGAUUUAGUUGCCAAAUUGGUAUUGAUUUUGGGUGACUUCAAGAGUAAUAUUGGAGAAAAAAGAACUAGGAGUGGAAGAUGUAGAUGGAUAUGAAAUUUGGAUAAGAGCGCGAGAAACGAAGAAGACUCUUGUCGAAGAUAAUUUGGACAAAAAAAUUGAAGAAAGAGUUAAUGAACUAAAUGACAAAGUUACUAGUAGUCAAAUUGUCGCCAAUGGUUGGGAGGACAUUUUGCCAAUCCAACAAGAAUAGUUAAGCCGAUUGAUGACUUCAAUAUAUUAGUAAGACUAUUUUGUUUAUACAUACCUUUAGUUUUAUGUGAAUGUAUAUAUAAAUGUUUAGGCUAUUUUACUUAAUUACAAUUAUGUGAAUGUAUAUAUGAAUGAUUAGGUUAUUCUACUUAACAAUUAUGUGAAUGUAUAAAUAUUUAAUUUUAUAAGAAUUUUAAUUCUAAGUGUAUAAA